rnacentral:rRNA from 1 species
ACGCUCGACACCUACGGGGGGCAGCAGUGGGGAAUAUUGGGCAAUGGGCGCAAGCCUGACCCAGCAACGCCGCGUGAGUGAUGAAGGUCUUCGGAUUGUAAAACUCUUUAAGCAGGGAAGAAGAAAGUGACGGUACCUGCAGAAUAAGCAUCGGCUAACUACGUGCCAGCAGCCGCGGUAAUCUGAGCGGGCUGGCAAGGC